CUUGAUGGUAAUGACCAAAGUGAACAAAAUGAAUACCUGAACUUUGUGGUCGAUGAAAUACUCCUGAAGUAAAAAUUUAAACUAUGGAAACUGUUGCACCUGUCACUUUUUACAGGGGACCAAGCCACCCAAAAAUACAGUAGAUUAAGUUAUAUAUGUCUUGGUUGAAAAGUGUAUCUAUUAGCUUUUUCCAUUGCAAAAUUCACCUAUGCUAAUUUGCUGGCAAUUUU